rnacentral:lncRNA from 1 species
GUCCCAGAUAGAGGUAGCUUGGGUUCCUGUAGUUAUAUUAUUAGAGAUUCCUUACAGAUGCAAAUUUUGCAUCACGAAAGCCAGCUUUGCAGCGCACUUGCUUCUCUGUGCCCAGAGUCGAGGUAGGCUCUGGCCCAACUGCACGAGAUGGACCUAGGACAGUGGUUCUCAGUCAAGGGCAAGUUUUGUCCCCCGGGAGACAGAGGGCAAUAUCACUGGUCAUUCAAGAAAUGCAAAUCCAAAACCACAAUGAGAUACCAUCUGCAGCACUAUUCACAUAACAAAGACAUAGAAUCAACCCAAAUGCCCACAAUGAUAGACUGGAUAAAGCAAAUGUGGUACAUAUACACCAUGGAAUACUAUACAGCCAUAAAAAGGAAUGAGAUCAUGUCCUUUGCAGGGACAUGGAUGAAGCUGGAAUAAUGGAAGCCAUUAUCCUUAGCAAACCCCUGUAAUCUCAGCACUUUGGGAGGCCGAGGCAGGCAGAUCACGAGGUCAGGAGAUCGAGACCAUCCCAACUAACACGGUGAAACCCCGUCUGUACUAAAGAUUAGCGGUGUCAAUUAAGGCCAAACGGGUGCCCUCUGGUGCAGUGCCUGGCCCGCAGUAAGCGUGCUCUCCAACAAGCUCCCUCCAGCCCUGGUGGUGAGCAUGACAGCAGCAUGCUCUGAACCUCAUGGAGAGUCCCAGCACGCCUUCUCCCCAUCCCAAAUUAUUUCUAACACAGGUACGCCAGUGAGGUGUGUGUUUGCUGCCUGGGUGACAUGAGCUACCAUCGUCUACAAGUCUUUGUUUGGUCCUUAUGGGAACAAUGCAUUCUGUGGCCAUAGUAGGGAAUGGAAGGGGCAAG